rnacentral:rRNA from 1 species
CGAAGGGUGCUAGCGUUGUUCGGAAUCACUGGGCGUAAAGCGCGCGUAGGCGGCUUUGCAAGUCAGAGGUGAAAUCCUGAGGCUUAACCUCAGAAUUGCCUUUGAAGCUGCAAGGCUGGAGUACUGGAGAGGAAUGCGGAAUUACUAAUGUAGCGGUGAAAUGCGUAGAUAUUAGUAGGAACACCGAUGGCGAAGGCAGCAUUCUGGACAGUUACUGACGCUGAGGCGUGAAAGCGUGGGGAUCAAACAGGAUUAGAUACCCUGGUAGUCCACGCUGUAAACGAUGGGUGCUAGCUGUUGUGGCGUCAUGCCACAGUGGCGUAGUUAACGCGUUAAGCACCCCGCCUGGGGAGUACGGUCGCAAGAUUA